UACGUAGGGGGCAAGCGUUAAUCGGAAUUACUGGGCGUAAAGCGUGCGCAGGCGGUUUUGUAAGUCUGUCGUGAAAUCCCCGGGCUUAACCUGGGAAUGGCGAUGGAGACUGCAAGGCUAGAGUUUGGCAGAGGGGGGUAGAAUUCCACGUGUAGCAGUGAAAUGCGUAGAGAUGUGGAGGAACACCGAUGGCGAAGGCAGCCCCCUGGGUCAAAACUGACGCUCAUGCACGAAAGCGUGGGGAGCAAACAGG
rnacentral:rRNA from 1 species